rnacentral:rRNA from 1 species
UACGGAGGGGGCUAGCGUUGUUCGGAAUUACUGGGCGUAAAGCGCACGUAGGCGGCUUUGUAAGUAAGAGGUGAAAGCCCAGAGCUCAACUCUGGAAUUGCCUUUUAGACUGCAUCGCUUGAAUCAUGGAGAGGUCAGUGGAAUUCCGAGUGUAGAGGUGAAAUUCGUAGAUAUUCGGAAGAACACCAGUGGCGAAGGCGGCUGACUGGACAUGUAUUGACGCUGAGGUGCGAAAGCGUGGGGAGCAAACAGG